GACGAACCUUGCAAACGUUAUUCGGAAUCACUGGGCUUAAAGGGUGCGUAGGCGGCGCGGUAAGUUGGGUGUGAAAUACCUCGGCUCAACCGAGGAACUGCGCUCAAAACUACCGUGCUUGAGGGAGAUAGAGGUGAGCGGAACUUAGGGUGGAGCGGUGAAAUGCGUUGAUAUCCUAAGGAACACCCGUGGCGAAAGCGGCUCACUGGAUCUCUUCUGACGCUGAGGCACGAAAGCUAGGGGAGCGAACGGG
rnacentral:rRNA from 1 species